rnacentral:rRNA from 1 species
CGAGGGGAGUGAAAAAGAACCUGAAACCGUGUACGUACAAGCAGUGGGAGCACGCUUAGGCGUGUGACUGCGUACCUUUUGUAUAAUGGGUCAGCGACUUAUAUUCUGUAGCAAGGUUAACCGAAUAGGGGAGCCGAAGGGAAACCGAGUCUUAACUGGGCGUUAAGUUGCAGGGUAUAGACCCGAAACCCGGUGAUCUAGCCAUGGGCAGGUUGAAGGUUGGGUAACACUAACUGGAGGACCGAACCGACUAAUGUUGAAAAAUUAGCGGAUGACUUGUGGCUGGGGGUGAAAGGCCAAUCAAACCGGGAGAUAGCUGGUUCUCCCCGAAAGCUAUUUAGGUAGCGCCUCGUGAAUUCAUCUCCGGGGGUAGAGCACUGUUUCGGCAAGGGGGUCAUCCCGACUUACCAACCCGAUGCAAACUGCGAAUACCGGAGAAUGUUAUCACGGGAGACACACGGCGGGUGCUAACGUCCGUCGUGAAGAGGGAAACAACCCAGACCGCCAGCUAAGGUCCCAAAGUCAUGGUUAAGUGGGAAACGAUGUGGGAAGGCCCAGACAGCCAGGAUGUUGGCUUAGAAGCAGCCAUCAUUUAAAGAAAGCGUAAUAGCUCACUGGUCGAGUCGGCCUGCGCGGAAGAUGUAACGGGGCUAAACCAUGCACCGAAGCUGCGGCAGCGACGCUGAUGCGUUGUUGGGUAGGGGAGCGUUCUGUAAGCCUGCGAAGGUGUGCUGUGAGGCAUGCUGGAGGUAUCAGAAGUGCGAAUGCUGACAUAAGUAACGAUAAAGCGGGUGAAAAGCCCGCUCGCCGGAAGACCAAGGGUUCCUGUCCAACGUUAAUCGGGGCAGGGUGAGUCGACCCCUAAGGCGAGGCCGAAAGGCGUAGUCGAUGGGAAACAGGUUAAUAUUCCUGUACUUGGUGUUACUGCGAAGGGGGGACGGAGAAGGCUAUGUUGGCCGGGCGACGGUUGUCCCGGUUUAAGCGUGUAGGCUGGUUUUCCAGGCAAAUCCGGAAAAUCAAGGCUGAGGCGUGAUGACGAGGCACU